rnacentral:rRNA from 1 species
UCUGCCCAGUGAAGUAUUUUAACGGCCGCAGUACCCUGACUGUGCAAAGGUAGCAUAAUCAUUUGACUUUUAAAUGGAGCCUAGAAUGAAAGGAAGCACGUAAACAACUUGUCUCACUAAACAUUAUUUUAAAAUUGAUUUAUUGAGUGAAAAUACUCAUAAUUUUAAAAAUAGACGAGAAGACCCUUAGAAUUUUAAAAACAGUACGAGAAAGAACUUGUAAAUUUUUUUGUUGGGGCAACAAUAUUUCAUUAUAAAUAAAUAUUAUGUAAUUUAAGAUAUAUCGAUUCAAUAGUUAUAAAAAAAUUACCUAAGGGAUAACAGCAUAAUUUAAAUAAGUAAGUUUGUGACCUCGAUGUUGGACUAGGUACUAUUAAGGCUAAUCGUUUUA